GACGUAGGGGGCCAGCGUUGUUCGGAAUUACUGGGUGUAAAGGGUUCGUAGGCGGUGUGGCAAGUUGGGAGUGAAAUCUCUGGGCUUAACCCAGAGGCUGCUUCCAAAACUGCCGUGCUUGAGUGUGGGAGAGGCUCGUGGAAUUGCAGGAGUAGCGGUGAAAUGCGUAGAUAUCUGCAGGAACACCCGUGGCGAAAGCGGCGAGCUGGACCACUACUGACGCUGAAGAACGAAAGCUAGGGGAGCAAACAGG
rnacentral:rRNA from 1 species